UACGUAGGGUGCGAGCGUUGUCCGGAAUUAUUGGGCGUAAAGAGCUCGUAGGCGGUGUGUCACGUCGGCCGUGAAAACCUGGGGCUUAACUCUGGGCGUGCGGUCGAUACGGGGCAUCACUAGAGUUCGGCAGGGGAGACUGGAAUUCCUGGUGUAGCGGUGAAAUGCGCAGAUAUCAGGAGGAACACCCGGUGGCGAAGGCGGGGUCUCUGGGCCGAUACUGACGCUGAGGAGCGAAAGCGUGGGGAGCGAACAGG
rnacentral:rRNA from 1 species